rnacentral:rRNA from 1 species
AGUAACACGUGGGUAACCUGCCCAUCAGAAGGGGAUAACACUUGGAAACAGGUGCUAAUACCGUAUAACAAUCGAAACCGCAUGGUUUCGGUUUGAAAGGCGCUUUUGCGUCACUGAUGGAUGGACCCGCGGUGCAUUAGCUAGUUGGUGAGGUAACGGCUCACCAAGGCAACGAUGCAUAGCCGACCUGAGAGGGUGAUCGGCCACAUUGGGACUGAGACACGGUCCAG